AGGAAAAGAAACCAACAGGGAUUGCCCUAGUAACGGCGAGUGAAGCGGCAACAGCUCAAAUUUGAAAUCUGGCGCAAGCCCGAGUUGUAAUUUGUAGAGGAUGCUUCUAGGUAGCGACCGGUCUAAGUUCCUUGGAACAGGACGUCAUAGAGGGUGAGAAUCCCGUAUGUGACUGGCCCGCACCUUCUACGUAGCUCCUUCGACGAGUCGAGUUGUUUGGGAAUGCAGCUCUAAAUGGGAGGUAAAUUUCUUCUAAAGCUAAAUACCGGCCAGAGACCGAUAGCGCACAAGUAGAGUGAUCGAAAGAUGAAAAGCACUUUGGAAAGAGAGUUAAAAAGCACGUGAAAUUGUUGAAAGGGAAGCGCUCACAACCAGACUUCUAGGCAGUGUUCCGCCGGUCUUUUGACCGGUCUACUCUCUGUCUCGAGGCCAACAUCAUCUGGGACCGCUGGAUAAGACCUUAGGAAUGUAGCUCCCCUCGGGGAGUGUUAUAGCCUCUGGUGAUGCAGCGAGUCUCGGGUGAGGUCCGCGCUUCGGCAAGGAUGUUGGCGUAAUGGUUGUCAGCGGCCCGUCUUGAAACACGGACCAAGGAGUCUAACAUCUAUGCGAGUGUUCGGGUGUCAAACCCCUACGCGUAAUGAAAGUGAACGGAGGUGGGAAGCGUAAGCUGCACCAUCGACCGAUCCUGAUGUCCUCGGAUGGAUUUGAGUAAGAGCAUAGCUGUUGGGACCCGAAAGAUGGUGAACUAUGCCUGAAUAGGGUGAAGCCAGAGGAAACUCUGGUGGAGGCUCGCAGCGGUUCUGACGUGCAAAUCGAUCGUCAAAUUUGGGU
rnacentral:rRNA from 2 species